rnacentral:rRNA from 1 species
CUAUGGGCUGCAGCAGUAGGGAAUCUUAGACAAUGGGGGAAACCCUGAUCUAGCCAUGCCGCGUGAGUGAUGAAGGCCUUAGGGUUGUAAAGCUCUUUCGCUGGGGAAGAUAAUGACGGUACCCAGUAAAGAAACCCCGGCUAACUCCGUGCCAGCAGCCGCGGUAAUACGGAGGGGGUUAGCGUUGUUCGGAAUUACUGGGCGUAAAGCGCGCGUAGGCGGGCUAUUAAGUCAGGGGUGAAAUCCCGGGGCUCAACCCCGGAACUGCCUUUGAUACUGGUAGUCUUGAGUUCGAGAGAGGUGAGUGGAAUUCCGAGUGUAGAGGUGAAAUUCGUAGAUAUUCGGAGGAACAUCAGUGGCGAAGGCGACUCACUGGCUCGAUACUGACGCUGAGGUGCGAAAGUGUGGGGAGCAAACAGGAUUAGAUACCCGGGUAGUC